rnacentral:lncRNA from 1 species
UAUUUCCCAGGCCUUCCAUUUACACCGAAGUGGUACGUUAAUGGAGUUAGUGGAUCCAAGGCUCGGAUCAGAAUUCAACAAGGUUGAAGCAGAGAGAAUGAUUAAAAUAGCACUCUUAUGCACCAAUGCGUCGCCUUCACUAAGGCCAACCAUGUCUGAAGUGGUAAGCAUGCUGGAAGGAUCUUCUAACAUUCCGGAUGUAAUCCCUGAAGCCGGUGGUUUGAGUGAAGACUUGAGGUUUAAAACUCUAAGAGACCAUCCAAGAGAAAUGAAUAGUUCGGGUUUGGAAGGAAGUCUGUCUUAUUAUUCAUCGUCAGCCAGCUUCUUGCCUGGUUCUUCCUCUACCGAUGAUGUCCGUGAAAUUAACGCAGAGGCAUAUUUGAAGUUUAAGGCCAUGAGAGACAGUCAUAUUCAUAUGGAAAGACAAAGAUCGGUUGCCCAAGUAUCAACACCAGUCCCCUCAUGGACUGGCUCUUCAAAAUCUGCCCAUGAUCUUCACAACACAAUUUGAGUCCAGCGGAUGUGCAAAAUCAUCCGCAAGCUAGUUUCAAGUUUCAACAUUCAACUUUUUUGUAACCUACGUCUAUGUGUCAUACCUUCUCGCAUCAUCUUUGUAUCUAAAAUUUUCAGCGACUCAACCUCGGAAACAAGCGAGUCAACAACUCGUUCUUCGUUCUCAGUAGUCACCGUCGACUCCUCGGGGUUUUUAAUUAAAUACCCUUUAAUAGUUUUAAAAUUAUUUAAAUACCCCCUCCCUUUUUGGUUUUCAUGGAUACCCUAACAAAUGUGAGCAAAGUCGGAAAUACCCUUAAUGAAUGCAUCAAAUGCACUCAAUGAAUUGUCUUCAUAUUUCUUUCCUCAUUUCUUUCACUUAAAUCUAUUUUUGCUGCCGAUUCUUUCAAAAUCUCUUAGAAUCUCUCAAAAUCUCUCAUAACUUCUUACACAAAUACAAUUAUGUAUUCAUUUCUUUAACACCCACUCUUUCUUUAAAGGUGCAUUGCUUAUUAAACAACCCAAUAAGGUAUGUUAAUGUUGUUGGGUUUUAAAUUUUUUAAUUUUUAGGAAAAUUUAGAAAUUUUCCUCACAUUACAAUAUUUUAUUUUCACCAUUUUUUCUUAUACGUAGAAAUAUAUGCAAUGUAGGUUGUUUAAUUAUAUUUUUCAGCAAUAUAACUUAUUUAUGGCGAAAAUAUUUCGAGUCGUGCAUUCUUUUGAUACCGUGUACGUCAUAUAGUUAGUCGUGUAAGUAAUAUAGUCGUGUAAGUCGUGUAGGUCAUGUAAGAAAUAUAGUCGUGUAGGUCAUGUAAGAAAUAUAGUCGUGUAAGUCGUGUAGGUCAUGUAGGUCGUGUAGUUACUUGUAUAUGAAAUUUAAUAUUAUUGUUUUUAUUGUAUUAUCAGAUAUGGUUUUGGUACGCGUGUCUAUUCUCUUCAAUGGUGAAUGAAUUAAACAAAAUGACGAGUAUAAGUUCAAAAGUUCAAAGGCUAAAGGGAUAAUGAUACCACGAUCGACAACAUAUGCCGCAUUGGUGGAGAAGAUAGCUGAAGUUAUUGAUAUAGAUACUUCGGAAUUCAAAAUCACAAUGAAGUUCAAACUUAAGACAUCUGAUCCUAUGCCACCAGUUACAAUUCAAACCAAUGAUAAUUUGGAAUUUUUUUAAAUUCCAAUUUAAUUUCACUUCUUUUUUUAAUAAUUUUCAUUGACAUUUUCUGCAUAGCAGCAAAUAUAAAUUCUUAGCACAAAUUAAGUCUUUAAAGAACUAAAUUAAUCUAAUGAUUAAUGGAAAAUUCGUGUAAUUUUAAAGUCGCAAUUAAACAUAUUACAGCCAUUUAAAAAGUUUUUUUCUUUUUUUUUUUUUAUCUUCAAAGUGCUUUCUUCCUCUGGCCAAGCAUACAAGCAUACAUGAGGAAUGCUUGCAUAUAAUUAAUCCAUGAAAUCAAUUAAGAAAAAAAAUAUCAGCUAUAGGAAAUUAAUGUAAUGUUAUACACAUAAAAACACCAUUCGCAGUGAUAAAAUAUUUUCACUCAUAACUAGACAUAUCAUGACUUACCAUGACUUAUAAUUGGAAAUUAAGAAUCUCUCUAACUAAUGACAUUUCACAAGGUAAAGGUAUAUGUACAAUUCCAAUUUAUUGUGAGCCUAAUUAAACUAAAUGUAAUAUGCAGAUUCUAUUGACAAGAAACAAAAUGUGGAAUUGAAGGUCGUGUAAUUGUGUAAUACAAGAAGAUCGUAUAAUUGUAUAAUACAUGAAGGUCGUAUAAACAUGCAAUACAUGAAGGUCGUGUAAACGUGUAAUACAUGAAGGUCGUGUAAUCGUGCAAUACAUGAAGGUCGUGUAAUCGUGCAAUACAUGAAGGUCGUGUAAAACACAACCUUGAAUCUUACAUAACCUUACACGACCAAAUCUUAUAUUACAUAACAAAAUUAUAAUCAGCACAAUCCAUUAAUUUUUCACAAUUUGCAUGCAGCAAAACAACUAGAAAUUUGUUUUCGAACAUGUUAUGAGAGACCCACAACUAAUUAAUCUAUUUUUUCAAUAUAAAACCCUAACUUUUUAUUUUUUUCCCUUGAAUAGUAACAAGAAAACUAAUUACAUGGAAUUACUUGUCUCAACUAGUUACAUUCUGACAAUUUUGCAGUAAAUGAUCAACUCUCUCCGGCGAUUAUGUAGUGACGAACUAUGCUUCACUUUCUCAGUUGUGGCAGCUUCUCCUUCUCAGGCUUAGUUUGCUCGUGUUGAAGUUCGAUUUACCAUAUAUGGAGAAUGAAUGUUUGUUUCAGUAGAGGUGAUGUCAGUGAGGGAAUUGCAGUGUUUGUUUGUUUGAGUUUGAUAAUUGAGGGAAUUGCAGCAGAUGAGUAUUUGUUUGCUUCAGUAGAGAAGGGAGAGGUGCUGUCCGUUGAGUUGAAAUGUUUUAAAAUGAGGAUAACUUAGUAAUUUCCUAUCCGUUUUGAAAGGGUAUCGAUGAAAAUUUCGGCAAAAAUAGAUUUUAGGGUAUUGAGAUAAUUUUUGAAGUAUGGAGGUGUACCGGGCGCAAUUGGCUCCGACUCCUCCUCCUUCUCUUCGCUAACACCACUUCCGAGAUGGACUGAGUCAACUCGGUCCUUGAUGAUGGCCUCAGAUUUUAUCAAAUUAGUUUCUUUUUCUCUCUGAUUUCGAGAAAGUUUGUACCUUGUCUCUCCGGAGUUAUUAAUAUCAGUUCGGCGGUUGGGGAUAGAACGGCAUCGUAGAGUGGAGGUGGUUUCUUUGUAUUCUGACGUGGAUUGAUCUGAUUGGUCGGCGGGAAUGCAGUCGUAAGAGGGAAAAUCGUCGAGCGUAUCAAAGAAUUCGUCGUCCUCAUCGUUGGUUUUAUUCCGUUCGUCCAUUCAGCAACCAGAGACUGGGGUUUCAGUUUCCGGUUAUCGCUUAUCAGGAUCGAAUUUGCUUGCAAUUCACCGUGUUUGCAGCCUUCGUGUCAUCAUUUUUUUUUUGGUUCGGUUAAUAACAUUUGCAUCCCUAAUUUUUAACCAUUUCUCAUGAAUAUAUAUAUUUUUUCUUUUUAGCUCAAAAUGUCGUAUAUUCUUUCUAACACAUUAAACUUUUUUCUUUUCAAUUUUUUUUAAAUAACCUUUGCAAUAUUCAACUUUACCAUUAGUAAUUGUUUGUGACUUAGGGGCCUUAUGCUUCUUUUGAUUUGCUGACUUAAUUAACUUAAUUUUAAUCAAUUAAGGUAUUAAGUCUUUUUAUUUUUAAUUUAAUGAAAAUUUUUAAGUCAAUUCUUUUUUACUUUUUACUUAAUCUAAAGACUAAAAAGUCUGGAUAUUAUCAUUAAAAGAUAUUCUCCAAAAUAUUUCUAUUUAAUUUAUUAAUUUUUAUCUUUACCUAAAUUAAAUUUUAAUAAUUAACAUUAUUACACGUUUCUAUAACUUGUGAUAAUAUAAUGGUAGACUAUUAUUGUUUUUAUCUUUUUAUUUUCUUCUAGUUAGCAUUAUUUUUCUUCAUAAUUUUUAUGAAUAUUUUUCAUAUAAAAACAUCAUAAACUAUAAUGAUGUAUACUAAUUUAGAAUAUUAAUUUAUAAGUGCACAAAUGUAAAAAAUACUUGUUUUUAGAUUUUUUAAGUUAAAAAAAUAACUUAAUAUUUUUUUUAGAGAUUCGAACAAAAAAUAAAUAUAUUAUUAGAUUCAAACAUUCAGCUUUAUUAAGAUUCAGACUAAUUCAAGUUUAUUCAAUUUUUUUAGAUAAAAAAAUAAACACCACCUUAGGCUUUAAGUAUACUUUUAUUAUUUUAAUAAGAGUUUAGAUAAUCAGGCAUGUAAUACAAUAAGAACUCAUAUGACCUAUAAUGUGUGUAUAUAUAUAAUCAUUCUCUAAUGAGGCAUCCUUAUUUUGAUAAAGUGAGGAUGUGACUAAUAAAUAAAAUAUAAAUUUCAAUAUACUAAGAGAUAAAAAAAUAUAGAUUUUAAUAAAUUAGAAAUUAUAUUUUUUAUAUUUUAGUGACAUUUUUAUUUUAACAAAAUGAGAAUAUCCUUAUUAAAGAGUAUUUAUAUAUAUAUAUAGAGAGAGAGAGAGAGAGAGAGAGAGAGAGAGAGAGAGAGAAAAUUGUAAGGGAGAGAAGAUUUAUGAACGAAAUAUUCUAGUUGCACUAUAAAAUAAAUAAAUAAAUAAUAUAUAUAUAUAUAUAUAUAUCUAAAAUCUACCAUCCUAAUAGAUUUCAAGUUGUAAUAAAUCCGAAAUUGUAAUCGUUGAAAAGAAAAAUGGUUUGGGACCUUUUUAAUACAAACGGAGAACCAAUAUCCUUUUCCGUGAGAUUUGAGAAACAAGAAUAGCAAACAAGAAAUCAGCUUAUUGUCAUUAUCUGGCUACGCACGAUAUAGGAUCCGGCGGGAAUCGCCAAUCGCCCAUCAUAUACAUACAUUUGUUUUGCAAAUGUAUCUUUCAUCAUUGAAACUAAAUAGUGAAUAAUUAUUUUCUUUCUUUAAUGGGAAAAAGAAAGAAGAGAAAGUUCUUUGCAUGAACAUAAAAAUCUCCAAGUCCACUAAGAAAUGUACUUACAAAAAUAAAAGUCUACUGAGAAAUGUAAAACCAAAAAUUUAUCUUCAAACUAGAGAAAAUUUUUCAAACAACCAAUAGUUAAUGCGCGUAUUUUGUGAAAGAUAGCCAAUGGGAAUGGGAGGUAACGUAAUCAAAUAAUUUAUUGAUUUAUUCAAGUCAUCAAUAUCAAAGUGAGACAUCCAUUUCCAAUUGGAAGAAAAAAAACCAUAUUUUAAUUGCCAAACCGGCGUGGAUUUCUCUCUCUCUCUUUAAGGUCCAAUUAACACACUAAUUAAGUUCAGAUUGUAUAUGGACAUCUGUGACUAAUUGGUUAAUUGAUUCAUUAAACUAUAUCUCUAUAAUCUUUUCUAUCCAUAUUCCAUUCUAAUGUUGCAAUGACAUAUAUAUAAAUAUAUAUAUAUAUAUUGUGUGUGUAUAAGGAAAUUUAAUUAAUUUCGUAACACAUGCAUUAUUGCAUUAAAAUAAUAGUCACUGUUGCCUCAAUUUCGAUGGUCAAAAGCAAAAUAUUUAAAGCAGAAUCCUACAGUUUGACCAUGCAAAAAACCAAUGAAAAUUCAAAUAUCGGGGGUUCCUAUACUAAUAGUUGCGAAUGGGACCAACAAUUCAUAUCUUUCAUUAACCUGUAAGGUGGAAAAAUCCAUAUCGGCGAUUAAUUAAUCAGACAUGCUGCGGAUGAGGUUUAAUGAGAAUCUUAGCAUUGGCAGGAAGUCAACCAUGUGCCGAGACAAUAUUUUUAUUAAAAUAAUGCACUUGGCUUGGAUACAAUUCAGAAUAUGACAAAAACAAAUCUAACUUUAGUUUGACUGGUACUGCAUUCUAAAAUCGUACCAGGACGAAAGACAAAAUCACAUUAGAAGGGUAGUUGGAAUUUUCUUAAUCGAGCUAUUUGCUUGGAAGAUUCAUCAUCCCUGCAUUUAGCAAAUAUAAAAGAAUCGCAAGAUUAUUAAAACAACGUAGUAAUAACAGCUCAUCAGAAGAUCCGUACGGUACAACAAGGAAACAGGGUAGAAUUGAAAGAUAGCUCAUAGCUCAUACCUCACGGCUAGCUUUUCUGGGUCUUCAAAGAUGUCCUUCUUGAAGCUUGACCUGCUCCUUGUCUCAAUUCUGUCUGUAAGCUGCUUAUGGACACAAGUACUUGUUUCUGCUACUCUGCCUCGAGCUGAAGGUUCGGCUGAUAAAAUUUUCUUUUUAUUUUCAAUAUCCCCUUCUUCAUGAUAUCUUGUAACCAGUUGUAGCUUAUGUUUCAUUUCUCUCUCUCUCUCUCUCUCUCUCUCUCUCUCUCUCGGUAUUAGUAGUGUAUUAUUCUCAGAAAUAAAGAAUAAAACAUUGUUAAGAGCCUAAGAUGAUAAUUGAAUUGAGGAUCAGCGAUCUUACAAUGGUCAGAUUAGUGACAUUCAUAAUAUUAUUAAAAAAAUUAAAAAUAGAACUUCAAAAUUUGGUGACUGGUCGAAUUCAGAACUGUUAUUUUCACCAAGUUCUGAUGUUUAAUUGAGAGAUGCUUCUUUGUGCAUGUAGUUGAUGCGCUCAAUCAAAUUGCCAAAACAAUGGGAGCUAGGGACUGGACGUUUGAUGCUAAUGCUUGUGACCUGAAUGAGACACCAAUAGUGCUGGAAGAAGGUCCCACCAGGAUCAUUACUUGCAACCUUGGAAUCGAUAAUACAAGCCACAUUACUGAAAUGUAGGUUCUUUUUUUGUCAUUUUAUAAAAUUUGAACCGGCAUAUUUUUAUUUUUCAGUUUUGUGUUUAGGUUGAUGUGAAGGACCAAUUUUGGGUAUCUUUUGUUUUCCAUUUUCAGACAAUUCAAACGUUGCAACCUUUCUGGAACACUUCCACGAGAAUUGGUCCAGCUUCCUUCCAUCCAGAAAGUGUGAGUUGAAUAGUCUCUAAUCUAAUGCAUUGGGAGAUUAAACUUAUAAAUAAAUUAAUCAUUUUUGUUAAUUUGCAGUGAUUUUGCCUACAACUACCUAAAUGGUUCCAUACCAGUCGAAUGGGCUUUGUUGCAGUUGAAGUUCAUGUAAGCUAUAUCUAAUUCUCUCUAAUCAGGUUAAGCAGUUAGCAUUCUACUUGUUUCAUAGAGUUAAUUGAUCGUCAAUAAUCUUAAUGCAGCUCUGUUUUUGGAAACCGGUUAUCAGGCAAUAUUCCAAGCCAUUUGGCGAACAUUACCAGUCUCACGUACUUGUAAGCUAUCAAUUCUUGGUUUAUGCAAACAUAUUUAGGCCACUGAUGUAAAUGAUAACUAAUUUAUUCCCUUUGUAAUCUGAAUGGGUCUAAUUUGCCAGGGACAUUGAAGCAAACCAAUUCUCGGGAACCGUACCUGAGGAGUUCAGGAAAUUAGUAAACUUGGAAACUCUGUAAGGCAUUGUCAAGCUUUUUUGUGGCUGAUAUUUGUUCAUGAUCAAUGUAAUCAUUUGGACCAUAAAUUGUCAUGGUUACAGGAGACUGUCCUCCAAUCAGUUGAGUGGAAGUUUGCCGACGGGACUAGCUGAGCUAAAAAAUUUAACUAACUUGUAAGCCUUCUUGAUUAGUGUCAGAUCAUGCUCAAAAUUUAUCAGAGGUAUAAGCUGUACUCAUUCUCAUUGCACAUUGCAGUAGGAUCAGCGACAACAACUUCAAUGGGAGUAUACCAGAAUUUAUACAAAACUGGAAGCAACUUGAGAGACUGUACGAUCAUCUACAUUACAAAGAUUUCUCAUCUUACAUUCUGGUUCUUGAUUGUUCUUGAUUUGUUAAUUUGAGUUGAUGCAGAGAAAUGCAAGGUAGUGGAUUCGAUGGACCCAUUCCGUCAUCCAUCUCUGUCUUGGAAAAUCUGAAACAAUUGUGAGUAAAUAUUUCUCUACUUGUCAAUUACAAUAAUCAGAAUGAUUUAAUACAUCAAUUUAUAUGAUUAAUUUAUUAUAUUUAACGAUACUAAAAGGAUCUGUUAAUUAUGGCACUCUAACAGGAGGAUUAGUGACAUAGCUGGAACAAAUCAUCUUUUUCCGGAUCUUAGAAAAAUGGCAGGCAUUAAAAGGAUGUAUGCUCAUUGGCUAUUUUCUAUCAUUUUGAUGGAGUAUGAUUAUUCGCCUUAUAAUUAUCUUACAGGAUUAAUGUUGGAUUUUCAGAAUUUUGAGAAACUGUGGUAUUUCUGGGGAGUUUCCUGAAUAUAUCUGGCGAAUGAAUAAUCUGCGAAUUUUGUAAGUAUGCUACAUUCUUUGUUUUCUAAUGCAGAAAUUAAAUACUUGAAAAUGAAAGCAAAAUUCCGGGUUUACAUUCAUGAAAAGUAACACCAACUAGUAAUGUAGUAUUCUUCUAUACCUUGCAGCUGCCAUAGCAGCAAUAGAGUUGAAGCAUCAGCACUUACAGGCCAGUUAAUGUAUUUACAUGGAUAAUCAUUAUCUUUUGAAUUUGGUUUGGACAGGGAUCUCAGUUUUAAUAGGCUAACCGGGAAAAUUCCCAAUGUUGCAACUCCACCGAGUUUGAAAUUCAUGUAAGUUAAUGAAAUCAACUGUCUGGAUUUACAAUGUUAAUUAUGUGAUGUCCAACUCAUUAACCACCUGAUACGGCCUUGGUCAGCUUUCUAACUGGCAACUUUCUCAGCGGGAACAUACCAGCGUCGAUCUUGAGGAAAGGAACUAAUGUGUGUGUAUCUUAUCACCUGGAUGCCUUGAGUUUUACUUAUUUUAGUGAUUUAUGUUCAUAUAUAUUUGCAAUCUGUUGAUUUACUAUAUAGUAACCAUAUGUAACUUUGUAAUCCUGUUUCUAAAGAGACCAUAUUAAACAUCAAUUUUGUUAAAUAAAUAAUCUUAUGCAUGAAAUUUCCUUCAUUGCUUCUUUCUUGCAUGCAGGGAUCUGUCAUAUAAUAAUUUCACUCAUCAAAACCCUGAGCAGCCUGCUUGUCGGGAGAUACAGUCAGUAUAUUUCCCUCUCUAUGUUAAAUAAAUAAUCUUCUCCGCUUGUAAUAUCACUUGGUAUAUCUGAGUGCUGAUAUUUGCUUUGUCUCCCGUUAUUUCGUUAGGAAUCUAAAUCUGAACCUGUUCCGAAGUUCUUCUGGGCACAGCAAUUUGUAUGUUGCUUUUCAUGCUUUCUUAUUAUUGUAGCUUAUGUGACAGAUUUAACAACCAAUGUAUAAAGAAGUUUUAAAAAUAUACAGUCAUUUUAUCAUCCAAUAAAUAAGAAGCAACGUGUAUUUUUAGAUUAGACAAUGUAAUGUCUACUAAUAUUCUCUUUUUCCUUGACUAAAAACCAGAAGUGGAGUUCUUCCAUGUAAGAAUAAUUUCAAAUGCGAUCGAUGUAAGUAUACUCUACUAUCAGUAAGUCACCAUAAAAUCUAUAUCUCGAAUAUGUUGACUUUUAGAAUCACAAAUAGUUGGUAGCCUAGCUAUUAAUAAUAUCAUAUUCAAAUCAACUUCAAUUCUUCUGUUUAUUUUUUAAUUGUCAGUUCAUUUCUGGUUUCUUGAAAACUCAUUGCUCAGAUAGUCUUUAACAUUCUUUUUUCUCGGCAGAUUGGCACUCACUGCACAUUAAUUGUGGUGGAAAUGAAGUAAAAGUAAAUGGCAGCACAUUUGAAGGAGAUGGACAAAUUGGUGGUGGUGCUGCAACAUACCAUUCAGAAGAUGAUACUAACUGGGGUUUUAGUAGCAGUGGAGACUUCACUGAUGAUGAUGAUGAACAAAACAGACGUUACAUUGCAACUCCUGACUCAUCAAACCUUUCUGAACUAUACAUUAAUGCACGCAUUGCUCCUCUUUCACUUACUUACUUUGGAUAUUGUUUAGACAACGGAAAUUAUACUUUGAGUCUACACUUUGCGGAGGUCCAGUUCAGUAAUGGAAUUACAUUUCACAGCCUGGGAAGGCGUCUAUUUGAUAUUUAUAUUCAGGUAAUUAAUCAGAAUCAGGAAAUAGAUUUUCAUCGGACACAUUUCUCUCUGUGAGUUCUUGGGAGACAGUUGUGCUAUUGAGUAAUAUGAUGGAUGAUUCUCAAUAUGUUUCUCUGGAUUGUCUUGUUUCAGGACAAACAAGUUGAGAGGAAUUUCGAUAUAAAAGCUGAAGCUUCUGGGGCUCUUAAGCCAGUUGCAAGAUCCUAUAAUGUCACUGUUACAAAUCACAUUAUAGAGAUCCGUUUCCAUUGGGCUGGAAAAGGGACUACGGCACUUCCUAAAAGGGGAGUUUAUGGCCCCCUAGUAUCAGCUAUUUCAUUGAAUGACCCCAGUGAGUCCUUUUCAUCCCUUAUUCUGUUUUCAAAAUCGACUAACAUUAUAAUACGUUGCGAAGUCCGGAUUUUUAGUAACACAAUUUCAAAUGUUCUUUUUUGAAGUUUAACUCUCUACGAUUGUACAUUAGAAAAAAACCAAAAUUCAGAUAUUUAGUUUGUUUGCAGCCAUUUUCUUACAUAUCCAUUUUAUGUGAAAGGAAAAAGAAAAUCUCCAUAAGUUAUUAAGCCUAUCAAUGUAGUUUUGAAUUUUUUUUCAUGCCCACACGUUUCUGUAAUGCAUUCGUUCCAUGUUUUCACAUGCUUCUGAUAAUCCUGCUUCAUGGAUUCUCCUUGGCAGACUUCAAACCUGAAAAGAAGAAGGUAGUGCCGAUUGUUGUUGGAGUAGUUGCAGGAUUAUCUCUCAUAAUCUUGGCGUUCGGUAUCCUCGGUUGGAGGUACUAUUUGAGAACCAAGAGGCGCAAAGAAAGAGGUGUGGGCUUCUUUUAGAUAAAAAUUAAAAAAUGCUUCAGUUUGCUACUCAACAUUUAUUCACAAUCAUUUUCUUUUUCAUUAUAAUAAUCAAAAUAGUAUCUUUAUAACAGCAUUAACUUUAUGUAAGCAUGUGAAGACAUUUAGGUUCAAACUACAUGCUGAUGCUCAUUUUGACCAUCCACAUUAAAUUUAGUAAGGAAAUAACUUAAUGAAUCCAGAAACUCAUCUAGAGGCUAAAGCACACUUGUCUCUCUUUAUUUGGACAGGUUUUAUGAAAGAGUCGGAUCUCCAAACAAUUUCUUUUACCUUAAAACAAAUUAAAGCUGCAACUAACAAUUUUGAUUCUGCAAAGAAGAUUGGAGAAGGUGGAUUUGGACCUGUGUACAAGGUAUAUUGGCCAACCUUUUGCCCCUAAUCAUCCUCUUAACACAAAAUUUCCUUCAAUGGUUACUUAAAAUUUGUACAUUUCUUUUUUCAUAACUGGGAUGCAGGGUCAACUAGCAGAUGGUACUAUAAUUGCUGUGAAGCAACUCUCUUCAAAAUCAAGGCAGGGGAAUCGUGAAUUCUUAAAUGAGAUAGCCAUGAUUUCGUGCUUGCAACACCCAAAUCUUGUUAAAAUUCAUGGCUGUUGUGUUGAAGGGGAUCAACUCUUGCUAGUAUAUGAAUACAUGGAAAACAGCAGCCUUGCCCGUGCUUUGUUUGGUAAGUUUAGUCUAGUAAAACAAGAAGCAAAUGUUACAUACAGGUAUAUUAUGUUUCAUAUUCUGUAGGGAUGUUUCUGAUUGGAUUUGGAAUGGUUAUUGUAUUUUUAAGGUCGUGAAAACUGUGAACUGGAAUUGGACUGGCCGACCAGGCAGAAGAUCUGUCUUGGCAUAGCCAGGGGGUUAGCUUUUCUUCAUGAAGAAUCAAGAUUCAAAAUUGUUCACAGAGACAUCAAAGCUACAAAUGUUCUGCUAGAUAGGGAUUUAAACCCCAAAAUAUCAGAUUUUGGACUAGCUAAGCUUGAUGAGGAGGAUAAAACCCACAUCAGCACUCGCAUUGCUGGAACCAUGUAAGCCUCAUUUCACGUCUCUCAUUUAAAACUGAUAAUUUUGUUAUUGUUUCAGUGUAAUACAAAAUUGAUAAUUUUGACUUCAGAGGAUACAUGGCACCAGAAUAUGCACUCUGGGGCUAUUUGACCUACAAAGCAGAUGUUUACAGUUUUGGGAUCGUGGCCUUGGAAAUUGUUAGUGGGAAAAAUAAUAUGAGUUAUGCUUCAGCUCUGGAGUUCGACUGCACUUGUCUUCUCGAUUGGGUCAGCAACUAACUCAUAUAAUUCACCUUCUGCAUUUUCAUUUCUGUGGUUGUUGUGUCUUCUCUAAUGCUAUGUUUUGGUUUGGGUAGGCCUGUCAUCUUCAGCUAGAUGGAAAGUUAGUGGAGCUAGUGGAUGAAAGGCUAGGAUCAAAAUACAACAAGGAAGAAGCAGAAAGGAUGAUCAAAGUAUCUCUUUUGUGCACAAAUGCUUCGCCGUCACUAAGGCCAACAAUGUCGGAAGUGGUGAACAUGCUGGAAGGAAAAACUGCCAUACCAGAUAUGAUACCAGAAGCUGGAAGUUAUAGUCAAGAUUUGAGGUUCAAAGCCUUGAGAGACCAAAAGGGGCUGAGGCGUAGUCAGAAUUCGACAGCAACUCAGUCCCAGCAUUCAAUAUCAGCUGAGUUCAAUCAGGCCUCUUCCUCUACUUCGGCUGCCCAAGAUCUCUAUGAAAUUAAUGAGGAGUCAUAUAAGAAGUAUAAAGUCAUUAGAGACGGUUAUAAGCUGAUCCAAGGCAUGAAUUCAGAGGUACAGCUUUCAACGACUAUGCCCUCAUGAACUGCCUAUGAUCUUUACAACCAUAAUUCAUCGAGUUCCUAGAAACAUACAUCAUUUUUGGUGUUGUCAAUUCCGCAGUUCCUUUUUCAUUUUUUGAAAAUAUGUGUGUAUAUACACAUCUAUGUUAUUGUGCAUUUUGUUACCUUGGUGACUGUAAGAUUACAAACUAACUAUACAUUUGGAGUCCACAAAACAAAUGUGAAAAGAACAACUUUGAUGAUUGCUGGCUUCCUCAAUAAUUUUAGAGGCGCACGCAACCAUUUCCAAUCUGAUUGGCCCUAGCUGGCUGCCAUGUCUAGCGGCUCACAUCCGUCCUGCUUUUGAAAAACAGCAGCGAUGAAUGUAUAAAAAUUAGUUAAAAAAAUAGCACCUCACUAUUAAAAGAUAAAAGAAAUUCACUAUAAAAUUAAAAAAAUAUAUUAUGUUACAAGAUAUGUUUUGGAGUCUCCCAUGCUAUUCGUGCUCAAUUUCGAUACGAACGCUACUAUUCCUAUUAAAAACCUAUAAUGUCAAAUUGGGCUUAAAAUAUCUAAUUUGACCAUUCUACAUAAGAUCUAUUACUCAUCCACAUUUUAAUCUUAUAACUCUAAAACAAAUAAUAUAAUUUUCUGAAUCAAUAUCAAAUUGACAGUUUGACACUAACUAUUCAUAUAUUUGAGCUAUCAAUGAUCAAUGAGUGUCCAAACGAUUCACUUCGCUCCAUUCUACAGCAGCGAAGGAAUCUGAAACCUUAUCAUUGAUUUGACAAAUGCAAUAACCGGCCCUUUCUGUUAGAGUUACUAUCAUUAGUCAUACAAAAUGUUAAACGUUGAUUCCUAUUAAAAAAAAGAAAAAAAGUAAAGGUAUUCGUAUUGCAUGCUCAUGCAUGCACGGAAAGGUGAAUUGAAAGUAAUUAAGAUGGCUGUUUAAUCUUCACUUUUCAACAUUUUGACUAAAGAAAUAUUGGAUGUGCGUGCAUACAGCAUAUUUUAUUUAUGGAGCUGCAUAAUAUUCUAACCUUUUCUACUGUGUAAAUCAAAAAGUAAGGACAAAGGAGAAGAGAACGAUUGGAUGACGUUGGCUGCUAGAGGCAGAAAGAGAGCUGCUCUGCUCAAGGCAUAUUUUGGGUACAAACUUGAAUACAGAUUCCUAUUUUGGGUUUUGCGAAAAUGCUCUUCUUCUUCAAACGUUUUCUACUUCCUGUGCUGGUUAUGAGUUGCUUUUGGGCUCAAAUUUUUGCUGCUGCUAAACUGCCUCGACAUGAAGGUAAGUUCAAAUUUUUGCAAUUUUAGUACAGAUUUUCACUUUUACCAAGUAGGAUCUACUUCGAUUAGUAGGUUUUGAUUGUGUUGGCAGUUGGUUUGAUCCUAUCUCUGAAUAAUUACUUUAUCAAGAUAGUAAAAACCCAGAAUCUCAAAUAUUCUUUUAAAAGCAUUAUUAGCAGAUUUUUUUUUUUUUUAACUUUUAAAUUUUCUGAUGAUGAUGAUGAAAAUGCAGUUGAUGUUCUCAAUCAGAUAGCUCAAACAAUGGGAGCCACUAACUGGACUUUCGGUUCUGAUGCUUGUGAAGAUCACGUCACUAUAAAACAGAUUGUAUUAACAGAUCCUUUGAGAAACAUAACCUGCAACUGCCAAUUUCAGAAUGAAACCUGCCACAUUAUUGCCAUGUAAGUUAGUUGCCUUGAUUCUCUCACGAAUUAGAUGAAAGUAUUUGUAGCAUUCUUUCAAAGAGGAAUCUUGGUCACACAGUGUCAAUUUUUAAUGUAGUAACAAAAAAGUCUGAAAAUUGCUAUUGCCCAUUAAUGGAGUGUGAAAAGUGCUGUUUUUGCGAAAAGGAAAUUUCUUUUCCCAUAAAAUAAUCUGGUUUUGCUUUACUUUUUCGCGGAAUUCAUGCGUUUCAGCCUUCGAGGAACUCUCCCACCUCAAAUUGUCAAUCUUCCUUACCUCGAAAAUGUGUAAGAUUGUACACAACUUUCAGCAAUGCAUAUUUAUUCUAAUUUUAUUGUUCGCUAAUUUUUUAUGCAUUUGGGAUUGAUACCCAAUUUUGUUGAGAGGGUUUCUGUGAAUGCUUGUGAAAGAACUUUAAAAGCACUUGCUGAUGCUUCUCCAUAAAGCAUUUCCAGUACAUUUUUGACCCUCUAAGCAUUUUCUAGAAAUCAUCUACAAGUGCUUCCUCACAAGGAAUUUUGCAUUUUUGUUUAUUUUAGACUAAUGCUACCAAAAAAUAGACCCAUGCCAAAAAUGUAACUAAAUGCACCCCUAUUAGUCUACUGCAUUAUGAAUAUCUUCGUUUCCUUCUUUCUUUUACAGACCAAUUUGUAAAUUUGAUUGAUAUUGUUGUGGAAUGCAGUGAUUUUGCUUACAACUAUCUGCAUGGUUCGAUACCACGUGAAUGGGCCUCGAUGCAACUGAAGUAUAUGUAAGCUAUAUCUACAUCUUUCAAUCGGUCGAGAAAAUAAAAUUUUGUUUGUCUCACUGAAUUAACCAUAUUGGAAUUGUCCAUGCAGCUCUGUUUUUGCAAACCGAUUGUCAGGCAAUAUUCCAAGCCAUUUGGGGAACAUUACUAGUCUCACACUUGUCUCUCUUAAUUUGGACAGGUUUUAUGAAAGAGUCGGAUCUCCAAACAAUUUCUUUUACCUUAAAACAAAUUAAAGCUGCAACUAACAAUUUUGAUUCUGCAAAGAAGAUUGGAGAAGGUGGAUUUGGACCUGUGUACAAGGUAUAUUGGCCAACCUUUUGCCCCUAAUCAUCCUCUUAACACAAAAUUUCCUUCAAUGGUUACUUAAAAUUUGUACAUUUCUUUUUUCGUAACUGGGAUGCAGGGUCAACUAGCAGAUGGUACUAUAAUUGCUGUGAAGCAGCUCUCUUCAAAAUCAAGGCAGGGGAAUCGUGAAUUCUUAAAUGAGAUAGCCAUGAUUUCGUGUUUGCAACACCCAAAUCUUGUUAAAAUUCAUGGCUGUUGUGUUGAAGGGGAUCAACUCUUGCUAGUAUACGAAUACAUGGAAAACAACAGCCUUGCCCAUGCUUUAUUCGGUAAGUGUAAUCUAUUAUUGAUUGCUUGAUUGAUUAUGUGAGAGGAAAAUAAAAUAGUAACUUAGAAACACUAUACAAGUUAUAUAACAAUCUAUUAUUCUCCCUAGUAAUAUCUCUUGGAAUGGUCAUGUUAAGGUGGUGAAAACAGUCGACUGAAAUUGAACUGGUCAGUGAGGCAGAAGAUCUGCCUUGGGAUAGCCAGAGGUUUAGCUUUUCUACAUGAAGAAUCCAGAUUCAAGAUAGUUCAUAGAGACAUCAAAGCUACGAAUGUUCUGCUAGAUAGAGAUUUAAACCCCAAAAUAUCUGACUUUGGACUGGCUAAGCUUGAUGAGGAGGAGAAAACUCACAUCAGUACUCGAGUUGCUGGAACAAUGUAAGCUACAUGUCUCUCUUUUCAAUGACAUUUUGUCACUGUUUUAACAUCAAAACUCAUGAUAAUUUGAUAUGCAGAGGAUAUAUGGCACCCGAGUACGCUCUAUGGGGUUACCUGACCUACAAAGCAGAUGUUUACAGUUUCGGAGUUGUGGCUUUGGAAAUUGUCAGUGGGAAGUAUAAUAUGAGUUAUGUGCCAGACAGUAAUUGCAGCUGUCUUCUUGACUGGGUAUGAGAUUAACUAAAUUUUUAUUCUUUAGGAGUACAUGUAACUCCAUUUUAGUGGGGACAUGUUUGUUUGUUUGUUAUUUAUUUAUUUGGGACAACAGUUGUGGCAUGAGUUUAAAUCCAAUAAAUGUAGAUUUUUUAACAUAAUUGUCUCGGUUAUGUAUUUCCCUGGCCUUCCAUUUACAUCGAAGUGGUACGUUAAUGGAGUUAGUGGAUCCAAGGCUCGGAUCAGAAUUCAACAAGGUUGAAGCAGAGAAAAUGAUUAAAGUAGCACUCUUGUGCACCAAUGUGUCACCUUCACUAAGGCCAACCAUGUCUGAAGUGGUAAGCAUGCUGGAAGGAUCUUCUAACAUUCCGGAUGUAAUCCCUGAAGCCGGUGGUUUGAGUGAAGACUUGAGGUUUAAAACUCUAAGAGACCAUCCAAGAGAAAUGAAUAGUUCGGGUUUGGAAGGAAGUCUGUCUCGUUAUUCAUCGUCAGCCAGCUUCUUGCCUGGUUCUUCCAGCUUCUUGCAUGGUUCUUCCCCUACCGAUGAUGUCCGUGAAAUUAAUGCAGAGGCAUAUUUGAAGUUUAAGGCCAUGAGAGACAGUCAUAUUCAUAUGGAAAGACAAAGUUCGGUUGCCCAAGUAUCAACACCGGUCCCCUCAUGGACUGGCUCUUCAAAAUCUGCCCAUGAUCUUCACAACACAAUUCGAGUUCAGCGGAUGUGCAAAAUCAUCCGCCAGCUAGUUUCAAGUUUCAACAUUCAACUUUUUUGUAACCUACGUCUAUGUGUCAUACCUUCUCGCAUCAUCUUUGUAUCUAAAAUUUUCAGCAAGUACGUACUAUAGAAGUCAUGUUUGUGUGUUUGGAGGAAAGAGUUACCAUUUUUCUGGAGUUGUUGAAAUUACGUGGUUUUAAGGUUGAUGCGAAAACCCAUAGUUUUGGGGAAAAAAAGGAAAGAUAGCAGAACGCCACGUGUCAACGAAUGGA